GGAAGUAAAAGUCGUAACGAGGUUUCCGUAGGUGAACCUGCGGAAGGAUCAUUAUUGAAUGAAACACUUCUGGCUUUAUGCUGUUGUGCUGGCCCUUUGGGCAAUGUGCACACGGCUCUGGUCACUUGUUUCUUCUGUUCCACCUGUGCACUGCCUGUAGACACGCUGUGUCUAUGAUAUUUGUUAACACACAACAAUGUUAGUUGGCAUGUUAUAUAUAAUAAUAAAAUAUACAACUUUCAACAACGGAUCUCUUGGCUCUC
rnacentral:misc_RNA from 1 species